GCCUCGUUAGCGCAAUAGGCAGCGCGUCAGUCUCAUAAUCAAAUCUAGAAAUAUGAAGGUCGUGAGUUCGAUCCUCAGAUGGGGCA
rnacentral:tRNA from 1 species